AAAUAGGUCUCAGUUCGGACUGUAGGCUGCAACUCGCCUACACGAAGUUGGAAUUGCUAGUAAUCGUGGAUCAGCAUGCCACGGUGAAUACGUUCCCGGGUCUUGUACACACCGCCCGUCACACCAUGGGAGCUGGUAACACCCGAAGUCAGUAGUCUAACCGCAAGGAGGACGCUGCCGAAGGUGGGAUUAGCGACUGGGGUGAAGUCGUAACAAGGUAGC
rnacentral:rRNA from 1 species